UCCGGCCUGCGUGGCAGAGCAAGACUCCGUCUCAAAAAAAAAAAAAAAAAAAGUAACAAUUUAGUUUAUUUUACAAGGAUAAAGUCAUUACAUCUUAACACAGUCUUAAAGAAGAAACCAUUUUCCAAAAUAAGCAGCAGCGUGGCAACAGUUUGUGCUGCUGUGAAAACACCUAACAUCUCUGUACCUCAGACAGCAGGAUUCUCAUGACUGCAUCUGCGUUCAGUGGGCUGCAGAACCGUGACUGAAGUUUAUGAAGAAAGUCCGACCCCAUACUGAUAUACAAUUAGGAAGCGGUAUUUUCACUGUGUUUUCAGAUCACUUUAGUUAUUCUCUGCUGCCAAAUGUAACAAGUGGCACUUCCGUACAGGCUGUCUGCAACACAGUCUGUGCUCUGCUCGUUGGACCUUUCUGCCCCAAUUCCUUCUAAGUCGACUGGUCCGUCUUGCACUUGAAUGGCUUUUACCAGCACACGAUUUUGUAAUCACACAUUGGUUAGAUAACACUGAUUCAGAGUUAUGAGCAGCUUCCACAUUUCGUUAUAUGUAAAAAACAAAACAAAACAAAACCGCAUCAAUAUCAUUAAUCACAUGAGAAAGUGGUAGACACAAGAUUUUUAUAUUUUAAUAUUCGCUGGAAAGCUCAAAUGUCUAUCAUUGGGAAUAAUGUAAGGUACUUUCCUUGAGAUGAAAGUCAUUCUGUUCAUUUUUCAGGCCACACCUGCAAAUACCUCCAUCUGAAGUGGCAUCUUUUGUAAGUCAUUCUUUAUAUAAAGGCGGCCGUUAGUGGAACAAGUGGUUCUGCAGGUUCAUAGCUCAGAGGCACCAGUGCUCUCCCAAGAUAACCAUAAAAUCCGCAGAAGACGCACCUGUGCACACUUCCUGUUUCUCACUCAAAACAUUCCAGAAGGAACCCUGAAUCCCAAUGCCACAGCGGGACUGAAGUUUGCUCUCACCCACACAAUAAACCCAGGGAGAUCCCCCAGCCCCCACCCCGAGGCCCCAGCCUUGGUCCUCUGUCUGGUCUAGGAGGGCUCCUGCAGCUCCAGCCUAACAGGGAACAGAAGGCACCCACAUGUCAGAAAGCCCUCCCAAGGCCUGGCGAGCACUUCUGUUUAUGUGCCAGCCAAGUGCGUUUGACAAUUCUACAGCCAGCUGUAUGGCAGGCAGCGAGGUAUCCAGCAAAUACUCAGGGCUCACGUUACUGAGGAAGGAAGGUGGACAGCGAGGUACCCAGCAAGUACUCAAGGCUCACGUUAUGGAGGAGAAAGCCAGGCAGAUAGUGAGGUACCCAGCAGGGUUCACGUUACCGAAUAGGAAAGGAGGGUGGAGACAAGCGGGCUGGAACAGUCUGUCAUAAGCUUUAGCAUUUACAAGGCUCGCUGAAGAUUAUCCGAUUUGAUCUUAACAGCUCACAAGAUAGGCAGAGGCAUGACUGUUUUCACUUCAUAAAAAGAGAUCCCGAGAACUGAUGAUGACCACGUGCUCUUCCCAUAGGCUCCCAGAAAUCAUCCUCAGAUCAUCUCUCAGUUGUAUACAUGUGGUAAUAUCUCAGUCACGUCCCCUCUCUGCAGGGGAAUUUUACUGCCGCCCUGCUGUUCCUUCGCACCCCUGCCCUCUCCUGCAUUUCAGCCAUGCCCACCAUCCAUGGGGAGUCUGCACCACCCCACCCCCGCUGCUGCUGAUGGCUUGGGUCACGCUUACCUUUCAUUUCCACCUACAGGGACCUGUUCUUCCUUCAAAUGCAGCUCAAACUCACUCGUUGUGUGAAGCCUUUUCCAGCCAUCACAACCGUCAUGUGUAAAAUCAGUGUGUGGAAAGCUUCAUUUAGGAGGUGCUUAUGUUGCCUCACUGGCUGUGAGCAGGGCCCAAUUCUGAGCAAACCCGGUGGUCCCCUCUCCCCAUCUCUGCUCCAGUGCACUUAAAACAAGGAUUCCUGGAAUCACCUUUUUUGUCCAAUUCACGCAUGAGUCUGCCCCACACCCUGCAGAAAAGCCCUGGUGGUCGGCGGUCAGGGCUCGGGACCCCGAGGUGGGUAAGGAGAGCUUAGUGCCCUCUAUGGACUUGUCGCUCAGAGACCCGCGGCUGGAAGGGAAGAAACUUGCAUCCUGUGAAACAUCCAGGCCCUGAGACCCACUCAGGAGUGGAAAACGGGGAAGGAGCCUUGAACAGACCCUCGGGAGGGUAGAAAGCAGGAGUCACAGAGGCUACCAGGGAGAGAGGGAGGCAGGCAGUGAGGCCAGAGGUGAUGUGGCCGGGAGGGAGUUGAUGUGACCAGAGGUGAGGUGGUGGGGGGAUGACACGGUGUGGUGGGGGGAGGAGAUGUGGCCAGGGGCAACGUGGCCAGGGAAGGAGACAUGGCUGGAAGUGACAAGAGGGGUCUCCAGGCCUCAGACUGUGCCUCAAUUAUGGAUGACAUUUCAAUUAAGAUGUUGUAUCUAACUUUAACGAAAAGUAGCAAUUUAGAACCAUUGUGUACAUUUAAAGCACGGUACAAAUAGAGCCCGUUUUCCAAACCAAAGAACAGUGCAUUGAAGGAAAAAGUAAUAGCUCACCAAAAACAAAACAAAACAAAACAAACAAACAAAAAAACUAAUUAAAGAAAAAAUUCAUUUAAGAUCAGAAAUAAAGAGAUCCUACAGCUCUUCUAGUCCAAUCCCCACCCUAACGUGAAUGGGGGGAAAAAGGAAGUAGAUUCUAGUCAGUCAGAAUUAAAGGCAAAACCGAUCCACUUUACUUUCUACUGGACAGAAAACAAGAAGCUCAUCAAGGAAUCCCUACAAAAAAUAGCUUUAGUAGUUCCCAAAAUGCAAAAUUCACCUACAAAUUAAACCAACUGCUAAGUGUGUAUAGAGUAAUUUUUUUCAUUAUUGCCUUCCUCAUCCCCAGGGGCUUUUUUAGACCUUGUUUCCCCCUAAUUGCCUCCAACACCCAGGAAAUUUAAACCCCACAAGUAAACCGUGUCUCGAUUCAUUCACAGCGUCCUUUGGAGCAGGCAGUCCCUUGCUCUAAGACGUUCUUGUCACCUAAGCACCAAGCACAGCCUGAGAACGCACAACACGCACUCACACAAACUCAGACAGACAACAGGUGAGAUAUGGCACGUGAGGAGGAAGACAAGAUAAAUGAGCUUCACCGUCGACCCAGAUCCGACAAGAAGUGACACACGCAGCCUGUUCGGGUACAGAUCUGAGUCCACAAAUACCUCCCAGAGACGCCACCAUCCCUUCUGGUAGAAGAGCAGCCCAGCGGCCCACGCUGCUAGGAAGGGAGACUGUCUCCAGCCUGACGCUGCAGAGUCCUCAACACAAAGUCUACCUUCUGGAACCAUGCCGUCUCCUACAGAAGCAACUAGGGGCAUGUAGGGUUUUUUAAAAUCUUUUUUUUCUUAAGACAGAGUCUCCCUCUGUCACCCAGGCUGGAGUGCAGUGGCUCGAUCUCGGCUUGCUGUAACCUCUGCCUCUCGAGUUCAAGUGAUUCUUCUGCCUCGGCCUCCCGAGUAGCUGGGAUUACAGGCGCCUGUCACCACGCCCAACUAAUUUUUUAUAUAUUUAAGUACAGAUGGGAUUUCACCUUGUUGGUCAGGCUGGUCUUGAACACCUGACUUCACAUGAUCCACCCGCCUCGACCUCCCAAACUGCUGGGAACACACGCAUGAGCCACGGUGCCCGGCCCAUAUAGCUAUUUAAAUUUGACUAAAAUUAAAUAAAAUUAGAAGUUCUCAUUUACACUUCAAGCAUUCAGUUACCCACAGGCGGCCACUGACCAGAGGCUGGUAGAGAUGUCACACUCCACACUGUAGAAGGAUCUAGGGACGAAAUGGCUCUAAGAUCAUCUCGACAUCUUUAUGUUGAAGCUACUGAAGUUUUACUCUGAUUAUUAUAGACAUCAGCAUUCUCCCACUUUAAAAUGUCAGAGCUAUUGCAAUGAUCAGCUCUGUGGCUUCCCAGCAGCUCUUCUCUUCCUGGAUAGAUAACUGUAGAGCAUCUGCACUCUGCCUCCACACUAAGGGAUAGUAGAAGCCUCCGUAUAAAAUCAGGGGGAGAAAAAAAAAUGAAUCCCUAGUCCGCCUCCCCCCCUAUGAUUUUGUGAAACUCCUCUUAAUAUGCAGAAUAACUGCCAGAGUUGCAAUAAAGAAGCAUCCCUUGACCAGGAAGCAGCAGGGAAGCAAGAGGAGGGAGAUGCAAAGACCCUCCGUUCCCUCUGGGACCCCAGGCCCAGCCAGGACUGAGAAGGGCCGCACAGCCCGGCAGACCCGCACACCUGAUGCGAACCAUACACACGGCUUCCCUGGGCCUCGGUCCCCUGCUCUGCCCUCACUGGCCACUGUGGCUCUGGGUAGAGGCAGCUCCCUGAGCCCCAACACCCACAGCCAGUCCCCUCCUUGCAAGUCUCAGCUGUGCUUUGACUGCCUCCCUGAUGCUUCUCAUCAUCAUCUGCGUACCGUGUCCCCUCUACCCCACAGCCCUUGCUACCGCCCACCCCACCACGGAGCCUAGCACACAGCAGGUGCCCGAGACGCCCCAACGGGCGGGCAUGCCAGGGUAGGGCUUGGAGUUCCAAGGGCCAUGUCCCGCAUACCACCACAAGUGCCGCGGAGGCUGUGGAAGGGGUCCAGGUUUCAGCCCUGCACUCAGCUUCUCCUGGCCCCCGAGGCCAAGAACCUAGCAAGGGAGCGCAGCGGGAAGCUGGGUCCCAAACCCACUUCCUGCUCCUCAAGAGGAAGGGGGCCUCGGGGCACAACCCCACGAGCACCUUUCCUCCUGCCAGGCUGCCUGUCACAGCACCAACACCUUCACCGCAGGGAAACCCACCUCUGUGAGGAGAAAACCAAGUACCACAGGAGCCACGUCCCCCGCAGCGUCUGCUGAGCCCAAUAGCGACAGCAGCAGCCGGGUCCCCACUCAGCACACACCGACUCGGAACCCGCCAGGCACACUACAACACCAACCAUCUUGAAGCUCAGCUUCGACUCAUCAGGGCUCUCUUCCAUGAAAGCUAGGCAUGUCUAUCUUCCCUGGGCUCACAGAAAGGAGAGUGACUCAGCCCCGAGUGUGAACAGAGUCAAGCUCCCACUAGCUGUACAGACAACCUCCCUUGCCCUGUCCUGGGAAGGAGCCAAGCGCAAAUAGCCAUCUUUUGCCCGCACAGGUACGGAAUUCAGUCAGUUCUCUCAAUGGAGUUGUGACAGGUCAACUCCAGGCUCCUCAGUGCUCUGGGGUUCACCUCGGGCCACUGCACCUUUGAAACGUGGCUGUGGACUCCUCUAGGGUGCACAGUGUCACGGCCAUUUCAUUCAGAUACUGCAGGCCCCUGCCGUGGAGUCAGUACCCAGGACACCCCUGCCGGCAUCCUCCGAGAUGCUGCUGCAGCUGCUGUGAUCUGAGAACAGCCAUGCACAGGCAUCAAAGGGAGGGCUUCUCAAAUCUUUUCCAGGAGCAGUGGCUACAGCUUUGGAAGACGUUGCACUGAAUCCUGGGUGAUCGUGGCUUGGUCUGCAAUCUAAACCUAGUUGCUAGGGAGACACACUCUGUUGUAAUUGACAGAGGCUUUUGGUGGCAGCUCUACCAAGACCAAGAAUGGCAACUAAUCUGAGAUUUACUAUCCAUACUUUCUAUUUGAUGUUUAAAAGGAAAGCAUCGUGAAGUUCCAGUAGCAAGGAAUUUUCUAUAAUCUAUCACACAUCAAGAUAUAGCAGAAAUGUAGCUAAAAUGUUCAUAGGAUCUAUGCAGAGGAAGAGACGGGUCUAUUUCAGGAAAAGUGCUUGCUGGCUUUUAAGAAACAUAGUGAAAUCCCUGCCAAGUAAAAGAUUGUUUAUACUUUUGCUUUGGAAACGGAGGGAAAGUUCUUUCUUAUUAUUUGAAUACAUUAACUGUAUUUAAGUGUUCUGGUAGAUUAAGUAUUAAACAUUCAAAAGGAA